rnacentral:rRNA from 1 species
AACGCGAAGAACCUUACCUAGACUUGACAUCUCCUGAAUUACUCUUAAUCGAGGAAGUCACUUCGGUGACAGGAAGACAGGUGGUGCAUGGUUGUCGUCAGCUCGUGUCGUGAGAUGUUGGGUUAAGUCCCGCAACGAGCGCAACCCCUAUUGUUAGUCGCUACCAUUUAGUUGAGCACUCUAGCGAGACUGCCCGGGUUAACCGGGAGGAAGGUGGGGAUGACGUCAAGUCCUCAUGGCCCUUACAGGCUGGGCUACACGCGUGCUACAAUGGCGGUGACAGAGGGAUGCGAAGGAGCGAUCCUUAGCAAAUCUCGAAAAGCCGUCUCAGUUCGGAUUGCGCUCUGCAACUCGAGCGCAUGAAGUUGGAAUCGCUAGUAAUCGCGGAUCAGCACGCCGCGGUGAAUACGUUCCCGGGCCUUGUACACACCGCCCGU